rnacentral:rRNA from 1 species
UACGAACGCUGGCGGCGUGCCUAAUACAUGCAAGUAGAACGCUGAAGGAGGAGCUUGCUCUUCUGGAUGAGUUGCGAACGGGUGAGUAACGCGUAGGUAACCUGCCUGGUAGCGGGGGAUAACUAUUGGAAACGAUAGCUAAUACCGCAUAAGAGUGGAUGUUGCAUGACAUUUGCUUAAAAGGUGCAAUUGCAUCACUACCAGAUGGACCUGCGUUGUAUUAGCUAGUUGGUGGGGUAACGGCUCACCAAGGCGACGAUACAUAGCCGACCUGAGAGGGUGAUCGGCCACACUGGGACUGAGACACGGCCCAGACUCCUACGGGGGGCAGCAGUAGGGAAUCUUCGGCAAUGGACGGAAGUCUGACCGAGCAACGCCGCGUGAGUGAAGAAGGUUUUCGGAUCGGAAAGCUCUGUUGUAAGAGAAGAACGAGUGUGAGAGUGGAAAGUUCACACUGUGACGGUAUCUUACCAGAAAGGGACGGCUAACUACGUG